CGAUCUGUGGAUGUCUUGGCACCAGGAGCCGAUGAAGGACGUGGGAGGCUGCGAUAUGCCUCGGGGAGCUGUCAACCGAGCUGUGAUCCGAGGAUUUCCGAAUGGGGAAACCCAGCACGAGUGAUGUCGUGUUACCUGCCGGUGAAUAUAUAGCCGGUGUGGAGGGAACGUGGGGAAGUGAAACAUCUCAGUACCCACAGGAAGAGAAAACAACAUGUGAUUCCGUCAGUAGUGGCGAGCGAACGCGGAAGAGGCUAAACCAUGGGUGUGUGAUACCUGGCAGGGGUUGCACUCGUGGGGUUGUGGGGUUCAUUGUGUCGACGCUGCUGAGUCGGCCAACAGUAAGAAAUCAUGGUGUUAGUCGAAGUGGUCUGGAACGGCCUGUCGUAGAGGGUGAGAAUCCCGUAGACGAAAACGCUGUGACUGUUGAUGUGAAUACCCAAGUAGCACCGGGCCCGUGAAAUCCGGUGUGAAUCUGUCGGGACCACCCGAUAAGCCUGAAUACUCCCUGGUGACCGAUAGCGGACUAGUACCGUGAGGGAAAGAUGAAAAGUACCCCGGGAGGGGAGUGAAAUAGUACCUGAAACCGUGCGCUUACAAUCCGUCAGAGCCUUCGAGCAGUUUGGUCUGCUGGGGGUGAUGGCGUGCCUUUUGAAGAAUGAGCCUGCGAGUUAGUGGCAUGUCGCGAGGUUAACCCGUGUGGGGUAGUCGUAGCGAAAGCGAGUCCGAAUAGGGCGUUUGUAGUGGCAUGUUCUAGACCCGAAGCGGAGUGAUCUACCCAUGGCCAGGUUGAAGCGACGGUAAGACGUCGUGGAGGACCGAAC
rnacentral:rRNA from 1 species